rnacentral:tRNA from 1 species
UGUCGUCGUAGCCGAGCAGGUAGGCGACCUCGUUCAUGUCGAGGGCGGGAUUGGCGAGGUACUGACGCACCAGUUCCCGCCGGACGUCGGCGA